ACAGUGGACGCGAGCAUCUGUGGCCAAGUUUUUAAGGGCGCACGGUGGAUGCCUUGGCACCAGGAACCGAUGAAGGACGUGGGAGGCCACGAUAGUCCCCGGGGAGCCGUCAACCAGGCUUUGAUCCGGGGGUUUCCGAAUGGGGAAACCCGGCAGUCGUCAUGGGCUGUCACCCGCUGCUGAACACAUAGGCAGUGUGGAGGGAACGCGGGGAAGUGAAACAUCUCAGUACCCGCAGGAAGAGAAAACAACCGUGAUUCCGGGAGUAGUGGCGAGCGAAACCGGAUGAGGCCAAACCGUAUACGUGUGAGACCCGGCAGGGGUUGCGUGUGCGGGGUUGUGGGAUCUCUCUUUCACAGUCUGCCGGCUGUGAGGCGAGUCAGAAACCGUUGAUGUAGGCGAAGGACAUGCGAAAGGUCCGGCGUAGAGGGUAAGACCCCCGUAGUCGAAACAUCAGCGGCUCGUUUGAGAGACACCCAAGUAGCACGGGGCCCGAGAAAUCCCGUGUGAAUCUGGCGGGACCACCCGCUAAGCCUAAAUAUUCCCUGGUGACCGAUAGCGGAUAGUACCGUGAGGGAAUGGUGAAAAGUACCGCGGGAGCGGAGUGAAAUAGUACCUGAAACCGUGUGCCUACAAGCCGUGGGAGCGUCGGACAUCAAGCUUGCUUGGUGUCUCGUGACUGCGUGCCUUUUGAAGAAUGAGCCUGCGAGUUUGCGGUGUGUUGCGAGGUUAACCCGAGUGGGGAAGCCGUAGCGAAAGCGAGUCCGAAUAGGGCGUUUCAGUAGCACGCUCAAGACCCGAAGCGGAGUGAUCUAGCCAUGGGCAGGUUGAAGCGGAGGUAAGACUUCGUGGAGGACCGAACCCACCAGGGUUGAAAACCUGGGGGAUGACCUGUGGUUAGGGGUGAAAGGCCAAUCAAACUCCGUGAUAGCUGGUUCUCCCCGAAAUGCAUUUAGGUGCAGCGUCGUGUGUUUCUUGCCGGAGGUAGAGCACUGGAUAGGCGAUGGGCCCUACCGGGUUACUGACCUUAGCCAAACUCCGAAUGCCGGUAAGUGAGAGCGCGGCAGUGAGACUGUGGGGGAUAAGCUCCAUGGUCGAGAGGGAAACAGCCCAGAGCAUCGACUAAGGCCCCUAAGCGUACGCUAAGUGGGAAAGGAUGUGGAGUCGCACAGACAACCAGGAGGUUGGCUUAGAAGCAGCCACCCUUGAAAGAGUGCGUAAUAGCUCACUGGUCUAGUGAUUCCGCGCCGACAAUGUAGCGGGGCUCAAGCGUACCGCCGAAGUCGUGUCAUUCAUACAAUAGGGCCAACGCCUGUAUGGAUGGGUAGGGGAGCGUCGUGUGCCGGGUGAAGCAGCCGCGGAAGCGAGUUGUGGACGGUUCACGAGUGAGAAUGCAGGCAUGAGUAGCGAUACAAACGUGAGAAACGUUUGCGCCGAUUGACUAAGGGUUCCUGGGUCAAGCUGAUCUGCCCAGGGUAAGUCGGGACCUAAGGCGAGGCCGACAGGCGUAGUCGAUGGAUAACCGGUUGAUAUUCCGGUACCCGCUGUGAAGCGUCAAACAUCGAGCAUCGUGAUGCUAAGGCCGUGAAGCCGCCCUGAUCUCUUCGGAGUUGAGGGGAGUGGUGGAGCCGCCGGACCAAGCGGUUAGUAGGUGAGUGAUGGGGUGACGCAGGAAGGUAGUCCAUCCCGGGCGGUGGUUGUCCCGGGGUAAGGGUGUAGGACGUCAGGUAGGUAAAUCCGCCUGGCAAUAGUCUGAGACCUGAUGCCGAGCCGAUUGUGGUGAAGUGGAUGAUCCUAUGCUGUCGAGAAAAGCCUCUAGCGAGUUUCAUGGCGGCCCGUACCCUAAACCGACUCAGGUGGUCAGGUAGAGAAUACCGAGGCGUUCGGGUGAACUAUGGUUAAGGAACUCGGCAAAAUGCCCCCGUAACUUCGGGAGAAGGGGGGCCACACCUGGUGAUGAUCUUUACGGUCUGAGCUGGGGGUGGCCGCAGAGACCAGCGAGAAGCGACUGUUUACUAAAAACACAGGUCCGUGCGAAGCCGUAAGGCGAUGUAUACGGACUGACGCCUGCCCGGUGCUGGAACGUUAAGGGGACCGGUUAGCUCCAUUUCGGUGGGGCGAAGCUGAGAACUUAAGCGCCAGUAAACGGCGGUGGUAACUAUAACCAUCCUAAGGUAGCGAAAUUCCUUGUCGGGUAAGUUCCGACCUGCACGAAUGGCGUAACGACUUCUCGACUGUCUCAACCAUAGGCCCGGUGAAAUUGCACUACGAGUAAAGAUGCUCGUUUCGCGCAGCAGGACGGAAAGACCCCGGGACCUUUACUACAGUUUGAUAUUGGUGUUCGGUUCGGCUUGUGUAGGAUAGCUGGGAGACUUUGAAGCUCGCACGCCAGUGUGGGUGGAGUCGUCGUUGAAAUACCAGUCUGGUCGUGCUGGAUGUCUAACCUGGGUCCGUGAUCCGGAUCAGGGACAGUGUCUGAUGGGUAGUUUAACUGGGGCGGUUGCCUCCUAAAGAGUAACGGAGGCGCCCAAAGGUUCCCUCAGCCUGGUUGGCAAUCAGGUGUUGAGUGUAAGUGCACAAGGGAGCUUGACUGUGAGACCGACGGGUCGAGCAGGGACGAAAGUCGGGACUAGUGAUCCGGCGGUGGCUUGUGGAAGCGCCGUCGCUCAACGGAUAAAAGGUACCCCGGGGAUAACAGGCUGAUCUUCCCCAAGAGUCCAUAUCGACGGGAUGGUUUGGCACCUCGAUGUCGGCUCGUCGCAUCCUGGGGCUGGAGUCGGUCCCAAGGGUUGGGCUGUUCGCCCAUUAAAGCGGUACGCGAGCUGGGUUUAGAACGUCGUGAGACAGUUCGGUCCCUAUCCGCUGUGCGCGUAGGAGUCUUGAGAAGGGCUGUCCCUAGUACGAGAGGACCGGGACGGACGAACCUCUGGUGUGCCAGUUGUCCUGCCAAGGGCAUGGCUGGUUGGCUACGUUCGGGAGGGAUAACCGCUGAAAGCAUCUAAGCGGGAAGCCUGCUUCGAGAUGAGGACUCCCACCCCCUUGAGGGGUUAAGGCUCCCAGUAGACGACUGGGUUGAUAGGCCGGAUCUGGAAGCACCGCAAGGUGUGGAGGUGACCGGUACUAAUAGGCCGAGGGCUUGUCCUCAGUUG
rnacentral:rRNA from 1 species